rnacentral:rRNA from 1 species
AUGAAAGGGUGGGGCGCGAACCUUGGGCGGGACCUCCGUCUCCGGAAGAAGGCUCUCCUUGACUCCAUUCAGGCCCUAGAUCUUCGGGCUGACUCGGUGGGCCUCUCUCCUGAUGAGUGUAUGCUGCGUUAUGAUUUCGAGGACCAACUUAUGGUCAUAUACACUGACGAGGAGGCUUAUUGGCACCUUCGGGGUACCCAAAAGUGGGUCCUCAAGGGGGACACGAACACCGCUUACUUCCAGGUGAUCGCCAAUGGUCGUAGGCGGCCGAUACGUCUCUGUUGUAUCUAUAAUUUUUGA